rnacentral:rRNA from 1 species
UGCCAGACUCCUACGGGAGGCAGCAGUGGGGAAUAUUGCACAAUGGGGGAAACCCUGAUGCAGCGACGCCGCGUGAGUGAAGAAGUAUUUCGGUAUGUAAAGCUCUAUCAGCAGGGAAGAAAAUGACGGUACCUGACUAGGAAGCCCCGGCUAACUACGUGCCAGCAGCCGCGGUAAUACGUAGGGGGCAAGCGUUAUCCGGAUUUACUGGGUGUAAAGGGAGCGUAGGUGGCAUGGUAAGCCAGAAGUGAAAACCCGGGGCUUAACCCCGCGGAUUGCUUUUGGAACUAUCAGGCUGGAGUGCUGGAGGGGUAAGCGGAAUUCCUAGUGUAGCGGUGAAAUGCGUAGAUAUUAGGAGGAACACCGGUGGCGAAGGCGGCUUACUGGACAGAAACUGACACUGAGGCUCGAAAGCGUGGGGAGCAAACAGGAUUAGAUACCCGAGUACG